rnacentral:rRNA from 1 species
UACGGGGGGGGCAAGCGUUGUUCGGAAUUACUGGGCGUAAAGGGCUCGUAGGCGGCCAACUAAGUCAGACGUGAAAUCCCUCGGCUUAACCGGGGAACGGCCUCUGAUACUGGAUGGCUUGAGUUCGGGAGAGGGAUGCGGAAUUCCAGGUGUAGCGGUGAAAUGCGUAGAUAUCUGGAGGAACACCGGUGGCGAAGGCGGCAUCCUGGACCGACACUGACGCUGAGGAGCGAAAGCCAGGGGAGCAAACGGG